UACGGGGGGGGCAAGCGUUGUUCGGAAUUAUUGGGCGUAAAGGGCUCGUAGGUGGCCAACUAAGUCAGACGUGAAAUCCCUCGGCUUAACCGGGGAACUGCGUCUGAUACUGGAUGGCUAGAGUUUGGGAGAGGGAUGCGGAAUUCCAGGUGUAGCGGUGAAAUGCGUAGAUAUCUGGAGGAACACCGGUGGCGAAGGCGGCAUCCUGGACCAACACUGACGCUGAGGAGCGAAAGCCAGGGGAGCAAACGGG
rnacentral:rRNA from 1 species